GAUGAACGCUAGCUACAGGCUUAACACAUGCAAGUCGAGGGGAAACGGCAUUUAGUGCUUGCACUGAAUGGACGUCGACCGGCGCACGGGUGAGUAACGCGUAUCCAACCUUCCCAUUACUGUGGGAUAACCUGCCGAAAGGCAGACUAAUACCGCAUAGUCUUCGAUGACGGCAUCAGAUUUGAAGUAAAGAUUUAUCGGUAAUGGAUGGGGAUGCGUCUGAUUAGCUUGUUGGCGGGGUAACGGCCCACCAAGGCAACGAUCAGUAGGGGUUCUGAGAGGAAGGUCCCCCACAUUGGAACUGAGACACGGUCCAAACUCCUACGGGAGGCAGCAGUGAGGAAUAUUGGUCAAUGGACGAGAGUCUGAACCAGCCAAGUAGCGUGCAGGAUGACGGCCCUAUGGGUUGUAAACUGCUUUUGUAUGGGGAUAAAGUCAAUCACGUGUGAUUGUUUGCAGGUACCAUACGAAUAAGGACCGGCUAAUUCCGUGCCAGCAGCCGCGGUAAUACGGAAGGUCCGGGCGUUAUCCGGAUUUAUUGGGUUUAAAGGGAGCGUAGGCCGGAGAUUAAGUGUGUUGUGAAAUGUAGACGCUCAACGUCUGACUUGCAGCGCAUACUGGUUUCCUUGAGUACGCACAACGUUGGCGGAAUUCGUCGUGUAGCGGUGAAAUGCUUAGAUAUGACGAAGAACUCCGAUUGCGAAGGCAGCUGACGGGAGCGCAACUGACGCUAAAGCUCGAAGGUGCGGGUAUCGAACAGG
rnacentral:rRNA from 1 species